ACGACUCUCGGCAACGGAUAUCUCGGCUCACGCAUCGAUGAAGAACGUAGCAAAAUGCGAUACUUGGUGUGAAUUGCAGAAUCCCGUGAACCAUCGAGUUUUUGAACGCAAGUUGCGCCCGAAGCCAUCCGGUUCAGGGCACGCCUGCCUGGGCGUCACG
rnacentral:rRNA from 1 species